AGCCCUUAAGGAAUUCUCUGGGAAGAUAUUUCUGGUGUUAGAUUUUAAAAUGCAUUACCAUAUAGUUUAUAGUUGAAAUAAAAGCUGUUUUCCAAUUAAAAAUGUUGAAAAUGAUAUUGACAUUUUAAAAAGUGGCCUGAAAUGGUUAGCAGUUGUAUAUGCAGUUUUAGAGUUAAGUCUAUUUAUUUAGAGUUAAGUCUUAUCAGUUGUAUAUGCAGUUUUAGAGUUAAGUCUACUUGACAUUAUACUAAGAGAAAACUUUUCUUUUUGAAAGUUACAAGAUAUGAGUUUAUCUACAAUUAUUACCAUCAUGUUCUAGAGAAAAACCUUAGGAGGCCCCGCCCUCUGUUGACACGCACAGCUUCUCUACAGCAGAGUCUCAUUUGCACACACUCUGGCGAGUGCCAUACCUAAGGGAAAUUAUUUCCACAAGGGCUUUAUUUUCUUUCUCCUUUGAUAACUUGUGGACCUUUUAUUUUAUUUAAAAAUACAAUUUGAAUAUGGUGUUAGGCACAAAACGAGCUUCUAUAUAACUAUAUUUUAGGCAGAGGUCUUUCUGAAGCUUUUCAAGUGUAAACCUACUGCUGUCUAUGAUAUUCCUGAUAUUGGGCAUAAAUCUAUAGGACGAGAAAAUUUAAAGUAGUAUGUAAUGAAUGAAUUUUAAUUUAAAAAAUCAGUAUAAAUCUAAAACAUCAUUAUGCUAGCAUGGCAUGGUUUUAAUGAAAUGUAAGAGGGAUGUAGUUAAGUCCUUUAUAAUGUCUAACUUAGUUUCAGUCAUCAUCUUAGAUAUUCAUAGUAUCUAUUGCUUUUUGGCUUAAUGGAAUACAUCAGUGUUUUGUGGACCUUUCUCUGACAGUGGUGAACGAGUAGUGGAGAUUAGAACAUCAUUGAGGAAAACAUGAACCCACUGAGGGGACUUUUUAAAUCUUGCCUCAACUAAACUAAAUAUGUACAGUGUUUAAAUCCUUAUACAUAAUGCUUGUGUUAAAUGUUUUGGUAGUAUUAAAAGUGAGCAAAUUACAACUUUUCUUCAGGAGUGAGAGAUAAACACACUUGCUGCUGCAUUACUGUGCUGAGUGGAGAGGGAACAGAGAGGCUGGGAGACCUGGUGUUACUCCAGAUGGCCGGCAGCCCUGGGACUCGAUGGGCAGCUAUUUGGCUUUUUAUCUCAUUUCAACGUAGUGUGAUACCUGCACUGCCAAAUAGGCUGGUUUUGUUGUUGUUGUUGUUGUUUGCUUAAAUCAUUUUUAAAGGAACACCCUCCCCGAGCUUUAAAGUUACAAUCCUAAGCUACACAAUUGGGAUUCCCACGGGGCUGACCGACUGGCAAGUGAAUAUCAGCACCCAUGCACUUGCUCCUUCAUUUGUAAACUAUCUGAGCACUUGGCUUCUGUGUGCAAUAUAUGACCAAGAAAAUAACAAGUAAAGUCUUCCCAAACAAACUCAGUGCUGCUUCAGCAUCUAUGUCCGCACAGCCAGGAAUGAAUGGCAAUUAACCAGUAACGCCCUGCUCUCUGGGAGUGGGGGUUUAAUAACAUCCAAGUGCUAAACCGCACCACCACUCACAUUGUUCCCACCUGUGGGCCAUCUCCUUGACUGUUGACAACAGUAAGACUGCUUGCCCUGACCGGCUGUGAAACUCUUGUGACAGGCACUGUCAGGACAGUCCCUUUACGUGGUCUGUCUGUGGCAGGAUGCAAGAAGUCAAUGUGAAAUCAUUGUGCAUUUUUAGUUGCAAAAGUUUAUAUCCAGUAUUGAUAGUGGAAGAGUUUUCCAAAACAGAAUCAUCUGAAACGAGGCAGAGAACAGGUUGCUACGGCUGCUUUCUCCACAGUGCUGACUCUAUUGUAGUGUGUUAGAGACAGCCACUUCUCAAAGACAGGGUCUGCACUGCAGCUUGAAAAUGCAGAACUGGUGACAGAAGGCAGUUCCUAGUUGGGUGGUGGCUCACACCUUUAAUCCCAGCCUUGGGACACAGAAGCAGGCAGAUCUCUGUGAGUCCAAGGCCAGCCUGGUCUACAGAGCAAGUUCCAGGACAGUCAGGCUACACAGAGAAACCCUGCCUCGAAAGCCACCACCACCACCACCACCACCAGAAAGCAGAUCCUGCUUGUGCUAGCAAGUAUUUAAGGAGUGAGUGAAGAUGGGGUCAAAGUCACUUUUAAUGGUGUGAAUUCCGGUGUCACUCUGGGGCUCUGUGAAUCAGGUUGUAAUUCUUGUUUUAAAUGCUAACUAACAUCAGUUGCUACUCACAUUCUCUAUAAAGAUAUAAAAAUAUAUUUUAAAAACUUUAUGUAUCAUAGCUAUAGGUUUUUAAAGCGGGGAAAUGCCCAAAUAAAGUGUUAAAUUACAAUAUAUAAUAGAUGCUUUCAAAUUAAGGUUUUUGUAAGUUAUAAUAAUCUAAAUAGCCCACUAAUCUGAUCUUUGUAAUUUGUCUCAUGAUUCUGGUUACUUUUAAGGUGUUUUUUAAGUUUUUGAAAUAUACCUAAGUUG
rnacentral:lncRNA from 1 species